AACUCCGAGAAAUCGGGGCUAAUACCCGAUGAUGCAGCGGCACCGCAUGGUGAAUGUUGUUAAAGGUUUCGACGCAAGUCGGAAUGCCUAUUGAUGAGCCUGCGUCCCAUUAGGUAGUUGGUGAGGUGACGGCCCACCAAGCCUACGAUGGGUAGCUGGUCUGAGAGGAUGAUCAGCCACACUGGAACUGAGACACGGUCCAGACUCCUACGGGAGGCAGCAGUGAGGAAUAUUGCGCAAUGGCCGAAAGGCUGACGCAGCGACGCCGCGUGAAGGAUGAAAUCCGAUAGGAUGUAAACUUCUUUUGCAGUAGAAGAAUGUCCCGGUUUUAACCGGGAGUGACGGUACACUGCGAAUAAGGAUCGGCUAACUACGUGCCAGCAGCCGCGGUAAUACGUAGGAUCCGAGCGUUGUCCGGAUUUACUGGGUGUAAAGGGCGUGUAGGUGGAUCUCUAAGUCGGUGGUGAAAUCUUGCAGCUUAACU
rnacentral:rRNA from 1 species